rnacentral:lncRNA from 1 species
AUUUGCAAAAACAGGAACUCUCGAAGGAUCAAUAAGAAUCUAAUAAAGAUAGUUUCUUAUAGGGGAAGGGAAGGAUUGUGGUUAAAAGGGCAGAAACAGACGUGAGAUUCCUGUAGGUUUACUCAUCCUCUUAUGUCAGGAGUGGGCAAACUAUGGUCUGAGGGCCAAAUCGAUCCUUUGCCUGUUGGUAUAAAUAAAGGUGUAUUAGUACACAGCCAUGUCCGUUCAUUUGAGUAUAAACACACAAGCAAGUACUCUGUGAUUUAACAUGUGCUUGUAGGAGUUGAAGACUAAGUUCCAGCCAUUCUGGAAGGGCAGGAGAUGAUCUGCACAGAAGGAAUUGCACGUCAUCUUUUUUUUUUUUUUUUUUUUUUUUUUUUUUGAGGCAGGCUCUCAGGCUGGAGUACAGUGGCACGACGUUGGCUCACUGCAACCUCUGCCUCCCUGGUUUGAGCAAUUCUCCUGCCUCAGCCUCAUGAGUAGCUGGGACUACAGGCAUGUGCACGACAUCUGGCUACUUUUUCUAUUUUUAGUAGAGACGGGGUUUCACCAUGUUGGACAGGCUGGUCUCAAACUCCUGACCUCAAGUGAUCCACUUGCCUCGGCCUCCCAAAAUGCUGGGAUUACAGGCAUGAGCCACCGUGCCUGGCAGCACUUCAUCCUUUAAAAAAGAUUUUGUUUCGUUUUGGCUUUUUGUUUGUUUGUUUGUAAGUUAACUGCUUUAAGGAAUAAAUGCUCAAUGUAGAAAAUGUGGAUAUUAAAAGAUCUAUCUAAGAAUAAAAAUCACCCAUAACUAAAAAAUGAAGUGACAGUCACUAUUAACAGUUUGAUACACAUACAGGCAGAUAGAGAUAAAAUUCAACUAGUUGGGUGUAUAGUGGAGGUGUAUAUAUUUUUAAAUUGUGCCGCUUGCUUGCUUGCUUGCUUGCUUUCUCUCUUUCUUUCUUUCUCUCUUUUCUUUUCUUUCUUUCUUUCUUUCUCUUUCUUUUCUUUUUUUUUUUUUGAAAUGGAGUCUCUCUCUGUCACCCAGGCUGGAGUGCAGUGGCGUGAUCUCCGCUCACUGCAACCUCCACCUCCCAAGUUUAAGUGAUUCUCCUGCCUCAGCCUCCUGAGCAGCUGGGACUACAGGCGUGUGCCACCAUGCCGGCUAUUUUUUUUUUUGUAUUUUUUUUAGUAGAGAUGGGGUUUCACCAUGUUUACCAGGAUGGUCUCGAUCUCUUGACCUCGUGAUCUGCCCACCUCAGCCUCCCAAAGUGCUGGGAUUACAGGCGUGAGCCACCGCGCCCGGCCAAUUGUGUCUUUUUCUAAGUGUCAUUACUUUGGAAUAUGUAACAACUUUAUUAGGUAAAAUGUGCAUAUUAUAAAAUUUACCCAUUUAAAAUGACUUUUAGUAAAUUUGACAAGUUAUGUAGCCAUCAUUAAAAUUCAGGUUUUUAACACCCAGUAAGACCUCUUAUGCCUAUUUACGGUUAAUUCCUGUUCCCACCCCAAGCCCCAGGCAACUCCUUCCUGUCUCUAUAGAUCUGUUUUUCUGGACAUUUCAUAUAAGUGGAAUCAUAGUCUUUUGUGUUUGCCUUCUUUUACUAAAUAAAGUGUUUUUGAACUUCAUGUUGUAACAUGUAUCAUUACUCCUUUAGUGUUUAUUGCUACAUAGUAUUCUAUUAUAUACAUAUGCCACAACUUCUAUCUUUUUAAAACUAAAUAUCAUGUCAUGAAUAUUUUAUGUCAUUAAAAAUUUCAUGUAAAUUCCCAUUUCAAUGGCCAUAAUAGUUCAUUAUACUAUAAAGUAUUAAUUUUUUCUAUUGCUGUGUAUUUACUAUUGUUGGGACUCAGAAAACAAUACCCCAAAAUGAAGGCCUCAGAAGCAAAAGUUUCUCUCUGACCUUCUCCUUCCCUUCUGUCUCUCAGUCACAUUCUCCCUUGAGGCUAGCCAUAGAAACUAGAAUCCUUCUUCCCCAAGGUGGAUCAUAGAAACCAAAACUGCUUUUCCCCAAAGCCAGCCAUAAAAUCUAAAAAUAUCACUCUAACUUUCCCUCCACCUUAUCUGUGUAAAAACUGGCCAUAACGAAAUUCCCUGACAUACCUUGUUUGACUGUAGGUCAUAACACCCCCAUUCCAGAGAGGGUCUUGCCUUACACCCAGAAGGAAGGAACGCUGCUCAGAGAGGCCAAGAAGAAUCUAGACAGACAGGCCUUGCUGGGUUUCCACACUCAGUCCAUUAGCUUUAGAUCAGGCCCUUUUUGUCCAACCCUGUUUCUACACGCUGUCCGUGCUUUGUUGAACCUAAGCAUAAAAAUGGAUAAUUUCCCCUGUAUCUUUGGGCCUUCCUUCUGAAGGCUCCUAUUUGUAUACAUUAAAUACAUUUGUGUGCCUUUUCUCCAAUUAAUCUGUCUUUUGUGAGUUGAUUUUUUCAGUGAAACUUCAGGGGACCCCUCGGCCCCUACACCCCACAUACUCAUACACACACACACACACACACACACACACACACACACACACACUCACCCCUACCUGUGUAGUACAAGAUGGAAAGAAAUAGGGUGGGAUGCAGAGACACAAAUCCAAAAUUAGGUUUCUAUCCAGUGGACCAGUGGAUGAGAAGGUUUGUGUUUAACAAGGAUGUGUCUGUGCCUCUUGCAGUUUCAUGAGAAUGUGAGCCAUCUGGGAAUCUGGUUAAUGUGAAGACUCUGAUCCUGUGGGUCUGGGGCAUUGGGAUGUGAGUCACUAUCAUCACCAUGGCUCAGAGUCUGUGAUCUUGAGAGCUGAUGGUGGUGCUGACCAUCCUUCUGGGGAAGGGGGUUUGGUGUCACCAUCAACCCUUAAGGCUCGGGUGUGCUGGCUGGGCAGGGGGCUGUGUCUAAGGGGUUCGGGGUCAAUGGAUUAGGUUCCACCUUCUUCAUCUCUUAUAUGCCCAAGAGACUAGGCUUCAUCAUCACCAAUAUCUUCUGCAUAGAUCUAGUGUUGGUCAACAUGGAUGACUCACUUCCAGGUUUACUGAGACCAGCAGCUUCCCACAUACAUUGACUACCUUUCUUAUGCCCACAACAUGGCCCCCACAGAUGUAAAACUAUGAUCAAAUAAAAUUGUAUGCCUUUUCUCCUAUUAAUCUGCCUCUUGUCUGAAAUUUUCAGCAAACCUCCACAGGGCAAGGGUAAAGCUUUCCCUUAGUCCCAACACUAUUAUAAAAAAUACUUUGUUGUUGCAGAUUGAGGUCUCCAGAAACACAUGCUGAGGUGGAAUUUGGGGUGAAGAUACUUACUAGAGAUCCACAUCAGUAAAGAGAAGGGGGAAGAAGCAAGAUUGGGCAGACAAAGCAGCCAAACUGCAAUCCAGGCCCUACAAAUCCUUGGACAACCUGGCUGAGAGCUCUGGAACAAGCGUUGCAGAUCAGAAUUGUCUCAUGUGGGAUAUAGAUGGUUGUGUCUUUAUGUCCCUGUCUUUCUCAGGCAUCAGAUGCAGGCUGCUCUGGGAAGCAGGGGACAUUGGGUGAAGUGACUCUCUAUAAUUGUGCAGCCUCUGAGCUGUGACCUUAUGGGUGGAGGUGUCUGUGGACCCCAUUCCAGGAGUGAGAUAGCAAGUCCUUCCUUGGAAGGGGAUCUUGGCAGUGCAUCUUUGUGUUUGCCCAACCCUUGGAAUUGCCCGUCUAAUAUCCACUGUUACCUUUAUUUUGACUAACAGAACACCCAAAUUUCAUUUGCAGCUCCGGUGUUUUACAUAUUCUCUGCCCUGACCUCCUUCAGAGGUAGGAAGGACCAAGUAACAUAGUUGGGCCAAAUAGAUAGAGCCAUAAAUUUCUAGAUAAUUUUAUCUAGACACGAUAAUUUUAUCAAUAAAAGAGACAAAACCUCCCAAGGAUGAGUCUUUUGUCUCUUAAAUUUCUCCCUUUUUCCUGCCUGGAACUUGAGACUAUGAAGACAAAAGUCAGCCUAAAGAAGGCAGGGCAAGAAGCUACCUGGGUGAUUUUCUCAAACAACUGUAUCGGCUUGGGACUGCCAAAUGCCUGGCUUCUUGCACGAGAAAAAUACCCCCAUCACCUUCUUUUGUUCAAUUCAGUAUGGUAGGGUUUCUGUUACAGGCAGCCAAAUGUAGUCCUGUCUGGAACAGUAUGUUAGAUAUGUUAGCAUAUACAGUAGAUGUGCAUUUGUGAUUAUUUCUUUCAGAUUGAGUCCAAGUGAGAAUGGUGAGUCAAAAUAUUUUUAAAGUUCUUUGUGCCUAUUGCGAAAGCUUUACAGGAGGGUUUUACAUAUUUUAUUUUAAUCAGUAGGACAUGAGAUUUUCUUACUGAAUUAUGCCAACAUUAAACAUUUUUUAAAAAGACAGGGUCUUGUUCUGUCACCCAGUCUGGAGUGCAGUGACGUGAUCAUGGCUUGCUGCAGCCUUGACCUCCCAGGCUCAAGCAAUCCUCUCACCUCAGCUUUCUGAGUAGCUGAGACCACAGGUGCUUGCCACUAUGCCUACCUACUUUUUUUUCUAUUUUUUGUAGAGAUGGGGGUCUCCUUAUGUUGCCCAUGCUGGUCUUGAACUCCUGGACUCAAGUGAUCCUCCUCCCGUCGCUUCCCCAGAGUGCUAGGAUUACAGGCAUGAGCCACUGCUCCCAGCCAAUGCCAAUAUAUUUUUUUCUUUUUGAGAUGAGAUCUUGCUAUAUUGCCUAGACUGGUCUCAAACUUUUGGCCUUAAGUGAUCUUCCUACCUCAGCCUCCUACGUAGCUGGGAUUACAAAGUGUGAGGCACGUGCUGGCUAAACAUUUUUUUAAAAUCUCUUUUAUUAGGAGAAAGAGGAU